rnacentral:rRNA from 1 species
AGCCCGCUCAGAAACUUAAAGGAAUUGACGGGACCCGCACAAGCAGCGGAGCAUGUGGUUUAAUUCGAAGCAACGCGAAGAACCUUACCAGAUCUUGACAUCCAAUUGACCAUCUUUUAAUCGAGAUUUUGCCUUCGGGUACAAUUGAGACAGGUGGUGCAUGGUUGUCGUCAGCUCGUGUCGUGAGAUGUGGGUUAAGUCCCGCAACGAGCGCAACCCUUGUGUUUAGUUGCAAACAGGUCAAGCUGUGCACUCUAGACAGACUGCCGUGGACAACACGGAGGAAGGUGGGGAUGACGUCAAAUCAUCAUGCCCCUUAUGAUCUGGGCUACACACGUGCUACAAUGGCCGGUACAACGGGCAGCGAAGGAGCGAUCCGGAGCGAAUCCUAAAAAGCCGGUCCCAGUUCGGAUUGCAGGCUGAAACUCGCCUACAUGAAGUUGGAGUUGCUAGUAAUCGCGAAUCAGAAUGUCGCGGUGAAUGCGUUCCCGGGUCUU